CUUGAUGAUUUAAAGUGAUGAAUUAAGAGGAUUUUUCGACCUCCAUUUGAGUAACCUUGGAUCAAGUUAAUUGGAGAAUUUUACUAUCAACUAGGGAGUACCUUUGUUUGGCUAAAAUCUCCAGGCGAAGGUAAAGGUAGACGAAAGCUGGCGAGCGACAGAGAAGGAUCCGUGACAUGCCAUAUGGGGACUCAGUUUUGCUUCCGCGUUUAUGUUUCAAUGUUUUCAUAUUCCGUUUUUAAUGAAAAUUUAGUCUUCCCUCG